UGAUCCGGGGAUUUCUGAAUGGGGAAACCCGGCUGGAGUCAUGUCCAGUCACCGUGCACUGAAUAAAUAGGUGUACAGGAGCUAACGCGGGGAAGUGAAACAUCUCAGUACCCGCAGGAAAGGAAAUCAAACGAGACACCCUCAGUAGCGGCGAGCGAACGGGGUAUAGCCCAAACCGUGCGGAUACGUCCGCGCGGGGUUGUAGGGCCGGCGUAAUGGAUCUGUUAUUAGGCAGGAGAACACGGCUGGAAAGCCGGGCCAAAGCGGGUGACAGCCCCGUAUCUGAAACCGAAAUCAGCCAGGCCGGUACCUGAGUACCGCGAGGCACGUGAAACCUCGUGGGAAUCCGGGAGGACCAUCUUCCAAGGCUAAGUACUAUCCAGCGACCGAUAGCGAACCAGUACCGUAAGGGAAAGGUGAAAAGAACCCUUGUUAAGGGAGUGAAAAGAACCUGAAACCUGUUGCCUACAAGCUGUGGGAGCAGGCGCUUGCGCUUGUGACCGCGUGCCUUUUGCAUAAUGAGUCAGCGAGUUAAUCUGUACAGCGAGGUUAAGCGAAAGUGUAGCCGUAGCGAAAGCGAGUCUGAAUAGGGCGAUAUAGUUGUGCGGAUUAGACCCGAAACCGAGUGAUCUAUCCAUGUCCAGGUUGAAAGAAGGGUAAAACCUUGUGGAGGACCGAACCCGUUAGGGCUGAAAACCUUUGGGAUGAGGUGUGGAUAGGGGUGAAAGGCCAAUCAAACUCGGUGAUAGCUGGUUCUCUCCGAAAUAUAUUGAGGUAUAGCCUCGGGGAUUGUCUAAUGGAGGUAAAGCACUGACAGAGCUAGGGGGCCCACCAGCUUACCAAACUCUAUCAAACUCUGAAUGCCAUCAAGAUUUACCCCGGGAGUCAGACUGCGGGUGCGAAGAUUCGUAGUCGAAAGGGAAACAGCCCAGACCGACAGCUAAGGUCUCUAAAUCCAUGCUCAGUGGUUAAGGUAGUGGAGUCGUACAGACAGCCAGGAAGUUGGCUUAGAAGCAGCCAUCUUUUAAAGAAAGCGUAAUAGCUCACUGGUCUAAUAACUCCGCGCCGAAAAUGUAACGGGGCUAAGCAUGGUACCGAAGCUUCGGAAUGAUCGUUUUUUUUAAGUUCCCUCGUUGUGAUGUUGGUUGCAACGCACGGUCAACGGCGCAAGUGCAAAGCUCUAUGCAGCGGAAGCCUUGCAAGUCCGUCACAAGAGAAGUGACAGGACGUUGGCGGGCUGUUUGCGGCUGCAAACAGCAUGACAACGGGGAACUUAAAAAGGAAGAUUAUUGGUAGGAGAGCGUUCUUUACGGGCAGAAGCUGGGGCGUAAGCCAUCCGGUGGACUGUAAAGAAGUGAUUAUGCUGACAUAAGUAACGAUAAAACAGGUGAAAAACCUGUUCGCCGUAAACCCAAGGUUUCCUGGGUAAAGUUAAUCUUCCCAGGGUUAGUCGGCCCCUAAGGCGAGGCUGAAAAGCGUAGCUGAUGGGAAACGGGUUAAUAUUCCCGUACUUGUAUGAAUGUGCGAUGGAGGGACGCAGAAGGAUAGAUCAUCCGGCUGUUGGACGCCGGUGCAAGUGUGUAGGCUUGAGGGGCAGGCAAAUCCGCCCUUCUUCAAGGCCGAGACACGAGUCCGUGACCUUUUGGUCUGAAGUGAUUAAUUCCAUGCUGCCUAGAAAAGCUUCUAAGUUUAGUUCAUGCAAACCGUACCGCAAACCAACUCAGGUGGGUGGGUGUAAAUGCACCAAGGCGCUCGAGAGAACUCUGGUUAAGGAACUCGGCAAAAUGACCCCGUAACUUCGGGAGAAGGGGUGCUCCUUAUGGUGAUACUUUAACUUGUAGAGCUGUGAGGAGCCGCAGAGAAAUGGCGGUGGCGACUGUUUACUAAAAACAUAGGGCUAUGCUAAGUCGCAAGACGCAGUAUAUGGCCUGACGCCUGCCCGGUGCCGGAAGGUUAAGAGGAGGGGUUAGCGCAAGCGAAGCUCUGAAUUGAAGCCCCGGUAAACGGCGGCCGUAACUAUAACGGUCCUAAGGUAGCGAAAUUCCUUGUCGGGUAAGUUCCGACCUGCACGAAUGGCGUAACGAUCUCCGCGCUGUCUCAACCAGAGACUCGGUGAAAUUGAAUUGGCGGUGAAAAUGCCGUCUCCCCGCAGUGUGACGGAAAGACCCUGUGCACCUUUACUAUAGCUUGACAUUGGGUUUUGAACUGGCAUGUGUAGGAUAGGUGGGAGGCUAUGAAGCGUGUACGCCAGUACGUGUGGAGCCAGCCUUGAAAUACCACCCUUGUCAGUUUAAGACUCUAAUCCAGCGCCGUAAUCCGGCCUGGAGACAUUGUCUGGUGGGUAGUUUGACUGGGGCGGUCGCCUCCCAAAUUGUAACGGAGGCAUACAAAGGUUCCCUCAGCCUGAUUGGAAACCAGGCGCCGAGUGCAAACGCAUAAGGGAGCUUGACUGCAAGAGUGACAGCUCGAGCAGGUACGAAAGUAGGUGUUAGUGAUCCGGUGGUCCCGAAUGGAAGGGCCAUCGCUCAUUGGAUAAAAGGUACGCCGGGGAUAACAGGCUGAUCGCAUCCAAGAGUCCAUAUCGACGAUGCGGUUUGGCACCUCGAUGUCGACUCAUCACAUCCUGGGGCUGAAGCAGGUCCCAAGGGUACGGCUGUUCGCCGUUUAAAGUGGUACGUGAGUUGGGUUUAAAACGUCGUGAGACAGUUUGGUCCCUAUCUACUGUGGGCGCAGGAGAUUUGCGAGGGUCUGUUCCUAGUACGAGAGGACCGGGAUGGACGAACCCCUGGUGUCCCUGUUGUUUCGCCAGAAGCAUCGCAGGGUAGCUAAGUUCGGAAUGGAUAACCGCUGAAAGCAUCUAAGCGGGAAGCCAGCCUCAAGAUAAGAUCUCCCCGAAGACCCCUGGAAGACCACCAGGUUGAUAGGCCGGAGGUGUAAGCGUGGCGACACGUUCAGCUUACCGGUACUAAUAGGUCGUUCGGCUUAUUUUU
rnacentral:rRNA from 1 species